UACGUAGGGUGCUAGCGUUGUCCGGAUUUAUUGGGCGUAAAGAGCUCGUAGGCGGCCUGUCGCGUCUGCUGUGAAAUCCCGGGGCUCAACCCCGGGCCUGCAGUGGAUACGGGCUGGCUGGAGGCAGGCAGGGGAGAACGGAAUUCCUGGUGUAGCGGUGAAAUUCGUAGAUAUUGGGAAGAACACCAGUGGCGAAGGCGGCUCACUGGCCCGAUACUGGCGCUGAGGCACGAAAGCGUGGGGAGCAAACAGG
rnacentral:rRNA from 1 species